UACGAAGGGGGCUAGCGUUGCUCGGAAUUACUGGGCGUAAAGGGCGCGUAGGCGGCGCAUACAGUCAGGCGUGAAAUUCCUGGGCUCAACCUGGGGGCUGCGCUUGAUACGUAUGGCUAGAGGACAGGAGAGGCUCGUGGAAUUCCCAGUGUAGAGGUGAAAUUCGUAGAUAUUGGGAAGAACACCGGUGGCGAAGGCGGCGAGCUGGCCUGUAACUGACGCUGAGGCGCGACAGCGUGGGGAGCAAACAGG
rnacentral:rRNA from 1 species